rnacentral:lncRNA from 1 species
GGCCAUUGCCGAGGGAAAACCGGGUAGAGGCUGGGUGUCGUUAAGGUCUGCGGCGUACUCCAGGCACUCUGUCAUAAGCUCGGUGUAGCCCGCCGCCUUACACUGGAGAAGCCUCCUCACGUGCCAGGUCUGUUCCACGUGCACUCUCCGUGCAUCUGUAAGCUAGCUCUCCAGGAAACUAAACGGCCAACAGCAAGACAGGUCAGCGCAUGCGCACCAGCAACAUCGAGGUCAGCGCGUCCCCGCUCGUUCUUGUGUGUGUAUGGAGAUAGAGGGAGAAAUGUCAACAACAGUGAUAUCCAUCCAGAUGGUAAAGUUUGCCGAUGAAGGCACGGAGGUGGAUCCCAUGGUAAUGUGGUGCAGUAAAACAAAAAAAAAAAAGAUCGACAGCUCCAUGUGUCUAAGACCAAGGAGACAAAGUUCACCACCGCAGGACCUCUUAUAGUCAACCGCGAGGCCACUGAGCAGGUUGAUCAUUUCAGGUUCCUAGAAACCACCAUCUCGAAUGACCUCAGCUGGGAAAACAAAGUGGUGUCGAUUCUCAAGAAGGUCCAGCAACACACUUUACUUUCUACGUGGCCUGAUAAAUUUCGACCUUAGGGACAUCCUAAGGUCCAGUUUUACCGGGUAGUGAUAGAGAGUGUACUGACAUUUUCAAACCACCGUGUGGUACAGCAGCAUCACCCAGAGGCAGAACUCAUUUAGCAUAUCAGGUUUGGGGUAGGAGACAAACAGAUGGCUGCAUGACCCGCACACACCUGCCUGACAACUGACAGAGACUUGUACACUCGUUUGCCUUUUAGGGAUUUUUGGUGGUGAAGGCUGAGUUCAUAAUGCAUAUGUUAAAGAACGGUACGAAAAGAGACAAACAAUUUAGUCAAAACAAAAAAGAAGACAUCUUGAUCAUCAAAGUUUUUUUUUAUUCCAUUGUAAGCAAACUGGGUUGUUUGUUUGUUUGUUUUUUGUUUUUGUUUUUGUUUUUUUGUUUUUUGCAAAGAUAAAGCAUUGUUUUUAGAUAAAGAUAAAGCAUUGUUGCUAUAAUUUUCACCGAUCUCUGAAAAUAGCUAAAAUCAUUGCUAAUGAACGUUUUACAGGAGCUUCUAUUUUACAGUUAUUUAGCAUUCUAGGUCAUUGCUUUCCCCUAGCUUUCUGAUGGAGGACAAUAGAUAAAUCGAAAACCAGGUAAAUUUUCUAACACCUACGGUAUGAUGUCAACUGGAAAUCAAGCCACACUAAAAAAAAAAUAAAUAAAAAAACCUUGCUCUCUGAAUAAUUCUAUCAAUGCAUUGUUUGUCUUCCAUUCCUGCUCAACCCUUCGUUAUUUCGUCAUCGAUGAAUCUGGCAGUCCAUUGUUUGGAGCGUGAAAUACGUGGCAAUACUGGCAGGACGUGCUUUUUGUCUACAAAAGAUAACCGUGGCCACUUGACCCUGAAAAUACCACGCAAGCGACAGAUAAGUGGAUAUGAUUUUGAGGGAUUUUUUGCCCAUCAAACCGAUUCAUUGACGGUUGGCUGACGGGAAGCGAGGGAGUGAGAUGCCAGCGAGACCUUCACCUCGCCCCCGACUGAACUGAUGGUGUCCUUCCGGCCACGCGCGAGACCUCUUCCGCGUACUUACUUCUUCCGCGUGGCCUCAAGUGCCCAUGACAUACUCCCUCCAAAACCUAGGGGACUUUCAAACUCAAAACUAUUUUUCUGGCAUGAAUAUGUAGGUUAGUAAACUAUUAAAAGACACGCACAAAAACGUGGCAUAUUGCAUAAGCCUUGAUUGCAGUAUGACCGAUUGCAAGAAACACUUACGUCGUGUAACAGCAUACAUCACGAAUCCCAUGUAUCAUUAGCUUCUAAUGUGUCCCUUAAAUAAAAAAUAAAAGGUCUUAUCACUUGUUUUAAUUCGUGUUAAUUAUAAUCGUUUUAUGAAUAGCCAAUAAGAAAGAACUGGUUUAUAGAAUCAGUUCCUGUAUUCCUGUUUGAUUCCUGUAGCGUGCAUGUUCUCCUAGCGUCCACUGAGUAGCCCAAAGUAAAUAAACAAAUAAUCGAGAAAGUUUUAAAUUAAUAAUAAGUUCGUAAGCACGCCAUUUUAUAACCUUUCACAUUAGAAUCGCUCAUCUAGUUCCUCUAGCACUUGUUAAAAACAUCUUUAACUGCUAGUGUCGCUAUCUGUGGUGAACUUCGCACUCUUGUAGCACCCGGCUGAGAGACAUCCCUUCCUUUCCCUGCUUGUUUCUCGGUGCAUUUCAUGGAGUUAGACAAAUCAGCCGUUGUUUCUCAGUCCGGAUAUGCCAUACGAGGCUGCCCCAGCCGCAGACAACGGAUGUCUGUUCUUGGCAUCGUUUCCAAGAAGUGACCCCAAAGCCAGAAUGUAGCGGAUACCUAUCUUCCAUACCUUUAGGCAUCCGAGUGCCAGGCUUCCUUCAAUUCGUGAAGGAAUCUCCGUUUACUUCUCUUGUGUGAUCGGUUCAUCUCUUUCUCUCUCUCUCGCUGUCUCAAAUUCAAACAUGCUGUCGCAAGAACACCUUUCACCAAAACAACAACAGGAUCUUUAGUUAUCGUGCUGCUAAACAAUGGAAUUUUCUCCCCUUCCAUAUCCGCCACCUAUCCAACAUUGAAUCUUUGCACUGUAAACGCAUCUCAUGCUUGAACAUUACUCCUGACAACAGUCCACAGAAAGCUACUCCAUCCUUUUUCACACGCGCUAUGGUAAAUGUGAAAUUCUUAAUUUCAUAGAAAUCAUAUGAAGUGAGCGGUAAAAUGUGUUCUCUGGGUUUAGUUAGACCAUACAACAUAACUGUCUCUUUGCAUGGUUUAUGUCCAGCAGAAGAAUGAAAACCAAGACCAUCGCUAGCUGUUCAGAAGCAAAGGUUGAAAUCUCUCGUUCUUAAUGUGUGUGUGUGUGUGUGUGUGAAAAUUCUUUUGUAUAUUAUGCUCACAUAAAUUAUACGAUAAUCACCCCAUGGGCAAUAAGGAAUGGCUUUACAAUGAAGAAAUCUCUCUCCGUCAUGUGCUCAGGAGGAGAAUAAAAUUUUAUAAGACGUUGAUGAUAAAUUUCUUUUUCGGUAUCUUCGCCUCUACCACCACCAUCUGCACACAUUAGCCACUUAUC